AUUUCUGCAUGGACUAAUAAUUCCCCAGCUUUGACAGUAGAUAUCCGAGUAAGGAGAGUGAUGGGAGUGCGGAUGAUGCCUGGGCUAUACUGUUGGCUUGUAGAUACCAAGGUGGCACAGACAAUCCAACGCCGUGAAGCCACGUCGGAUCACGAGGUGCACGUCUCGGAAAAACUGGAAAGGAGCCGGCCGGCGGCAUCUAUGCUCUCCCAGCUUUCCAACGAGAUCUGUCGAUCGGCUGCUCGUGCAAAGCCACACCCCAGUGACCACAGUUGAAAGCCAUCAUGUCAUCAUCGUCGUCUUUCCCCCAUCCGCACAGAUACUGUAAGAUCUUUUCCACAGCCGGCCGGCCGGCGACCAUUCCUCCGGCGAUUAACCGCGACCUCCAUGUCUCUCCCUACUCUGUGAAGAGAGCUCAAGGCUUCGAUCUCGACCGCGUGCUAUAUAUCUGCGACGUGGCAACACGGACGCCGAGGAAAGAGACGGAGCAGCGCCUGACGACAAUGGCUAUAAAUAGCCUACUACCUGCUCCCCAAACCCUCCAGCAACCUGGCAAGCUUGCUUUCACACCAGCCAGCUCCACACUCACUGACUCACUCUCCUCGUUACUAAUACUACUCCUGCUUGCUCGAGGCCGAGGUAGGUGGUGCGGCAUGGCCAGGUCUGAUCAAUACGAUCCCUUUGUAUGGGCGCUGCCCAUGGUGGAGGGCAGCAGCAACCUCAGGGGCUGCGGCGGCGCCACCGGCGACGACGACGACGACGACUUCGACGUGGCUCCGGCUGCAUAACAACUGACGGAUCUCUGCAGUGUAUGCAUGUGUUCUCGGCCAUGCUGAUCUAUGAGCUGAGAGAUCGUAUAUAGCGAUGAGCUAGUACGUUUGCUGAGGUUUCCGAUCGAGGUGCUGUAUAUUUCAUGCCUCCGAGCUAGAAAUAAUUUCGCUCCCCUAAUAGCUUGCUUAGCUAGCUCUAGUAGUUAUUACUAACAAUAAAGAAGCAUCCAUGCAUGGCCAUGUGUGUAUAUAUGGAGCGCAGAGACCUAAUGUGGGGGUUCUACUGAUAGUUUUGGUCGAAAAUAAGGGUAAUUGCUGUCCAGGGCUUCAUGAUUAAUGGAUGCUCGUGCAUCUUUGUUGGUGCACGAGGUCAGGAGUUGUACUUCCAUUAUGUUAAAGAGGCAUUAUUCAUGCAUGAUUGAUCUUGAA